CAAGGAGUCUGGUGGCACCUUAAAGACUAACAGAUUUAUUUGGGCAUAAGCUUUCGUGAGUAAAAACCUCAGUUCCCCCAUUAAUAUCUGCAGAAGUCCAGAGGGUCUCAGAGUAGCCAACACCCUGCUACAAGAGAUUUUUGUAGGACUUUUGAACCAGAGGGCCUCGAGUUAGCCAAAACCCUGCUUCAGGGGACAUUUGACAGACCAAGUACUUGCGAAGAGAAAAGAAGAAAAGAAGUCUCCAUCUAUGCCUGUAUGUCCCUGGGCCCGCGCCGCUUCCAGCAGCUCCCAAUGGCCUGGAGCAGCGAACUGCGGCCAGUGGGAGCCGCGAUCGGCAGGACCUGUGGAUGCGGCAGACCUACUGAAGAACUACAGACAACUUAGAAAAAUAUUCUAUUUUGCACCAAAAC